rnacentral:rRNA from 1 species
AUUGAACGCUGGCGGCAUGCCUUACACAUGCAAGUCGAACGGCAGCGGGGGAGAAGCUUGCUUUUCCUGCCGGCGAGUGGCGAACGGGUGAGUAAUACAUCGGAACGUGCCUUGUAGUGGGGGAUAACUAGUCGAAAGAUUAGCUAAUACCGCAUACGACCUGAGGGUGAAAGUGGGGGACCGCAAGGCCUCAUGCUAUAGGAGCGGCCGAUGUCUGAUUAGCUAGUUGGUGGGGUAAAGGCCGACAAAGGCGACGAUAAGUAGCUGGUCUGAGAGGACCAUCAGGCAAACCGGGACGGAGACACGGCCCAGACACCUACGGGAGGCAGCAGUGGGGAAUUUUGGACAAUGGGCGAAAGCCUGAUCCAGCAAUGCCGCGUGUGGGAAGAAGGCCUUCGGGUUGUAAAGCACUUUUGUCCGGAAAGAAAUGGCUCUGGUUAAUACCUGGGGUCGAUGACGGUACCGGAAGAAUAAGGACCGGCUAACUACGUGCCAGCCGCCGCGGUAA